GGGUAGGGCUCCAGUCAGUUCUGGGGGCACUCACUAGUUUAUCCUGAGGCUCUGACAGGUCCCCAGUAUCCUGGGUAAUUACUGGUGGCACAGUGGCCACCUGGGUGAGGUCAGUGCCCAGACCUCCUGACCCUGUGUCCUGGGUGAAGCUCCCCUUGUCUGUCUGCCCAUGACCAGGACGUGCUGCUUAGUGCUGGUGGGUGCACAGCAGGAACAGCUCAGGUGCCACCUGGGUCCCCAGGUCUCCUUGCCCACCCUGGGGGUCUGCAAAUGUCACUCAUAAUCCAGGGUACAGGAGAGGGCCCAGGCAGGAGUUAGAGGACACUGUGGGAGGUGAGGGACGGUCCACAGGAGCCCCAGAGACCUCAGGUGUGUGACUCUACCUGUGCUCCAGGCAGGCACACAGGUACUGGUGUAAAGCAGGUCAGCUCUGUAGAGACCACCAUGAUCUCCACAGGUGCAGCAGGCACCUGGCGGGAAGGAGCCAUGACAUACCCUGCACCUCUCAGGAUGUGGCCCCAGGGCAGGGACGUGGCUCCUGGCAGGUGACAAGGUGUGGCGUGGUCAUGCUGAUGCCCACCCCAUCCUGACCCCAGACCAUCAUGGUCACCUCUGCCUCCCUGUCCAUGUGACGGGGUGGAGUGUCCCCCACUGUGUGUCCUGUUGGUCCAGCUGUCUGGGUGGAUCAGUCCCACCUGCC
rnacentral:lncRNA from 1 species